AGCAUCAGGAAUGUGGUUUCUUCUUUUUGGAUCUAUAAUAUUUAGUCUGCCACUCUGUGCCUGGUGGACUUGGCUGGCAGUGAGCGAAUGGUGAAGAGCCAGUCUCAGGGUGACCGUUUCAAAGAGAUGACCGCCAUCAACAGCUCACUGUCCAACCUGGGCGUCGUUAUCGCCGCUCUGGCCAAAAAGGAGACUUACGUAGCUUACAGGAACUCGAAGCUCACGUACCUCCUUCAGGGAUGUUUGGGGGGAAACGGCAAAAC